rnacentral:hammerhead_ribozyme from 1 species
AUCCAGCUGAUGAGUCCCAAAUGGGACGAAACGCGCGUCAUGGAU